rnacentral:sRNA from 1 species
UUUAUUUUGUUUGUUUGUUUUUUGACAGAGUCUUGCUUUGUCGCCCAGGUUGGAGUGCAGUGGCACGAUCUUGGCUCACUGCAACCUCCGCCUCCUGAGUUCAAGUGAUUCUCCUGCCUCAGCCUCCCUAGUAGCUGGGAUUACAGGACAAGGAGAGGGACAAAUUCCUUCUUGGCAUCCUUAUGGCCCUGUGACCUGCUAAUGAAUGCUGACCCUGAGUUGCUACUAGAAUUUGGUUUCCUUGUGGCUUCCCAGGAAUUGUGAGCCAUGUUGGAUAAGGACCUGCAAGGGAAGAAUGAGGAAGCCUGGGACAGUGCAGGAGGGGAGAGCACUGGUGGUAGGCAGGAGUGAUGACAAGGGUCUCCACCAAAAGGGAAAUGGAGGGGUUAAAGAAGCUGCUGGGGGGGGGGGUUCAAAACAAUGUGUUCUCACUCGUAGGUGGGAAUUGAACAAUGAGAACACUUGGACAC